rnacentral:rRNA from 1 species
GACGAACGCUGGCGGCGUGCUUAACACAUGCAAGUCGAACGGAAAGGCCCUGCUUUUGUGGGGUGCUCGAGUGGCGAACGGGUGAGUAACACGUGAGUAACCUGCCCUGGACUUUGGGAUAACUUCAGGAAACUGGGGCUAAUACCGGAUAGGAGCUCCUGCUGCAUGGGGGGGGUUGGAAAGUUUCGGCGGUUGGGGAUGGACUGGCGGCUUAUCAGCUUGUUGGUGGGGUAGUGGCUUACCAAGGCUUUGACUGGUAGCCGGCCUGAGAGGGUGAACGGCCACAUUGGGACUGAGAUACGGACCAGACUCCUACGGGAGGCAGCAGUGGGGAGUAUUGCACAAUGGGCGGAAGCCUGAUGCAGAAACGCCGCGUGCGGGAUGACGGCCUUCGGGUUGUAAACCGCUUUCGCCUGUGACGAAGCGUGAGUGACGGUAAUGGGUAAAGAAGCACCGGCUAACUACGUG